GAUGAACGCUGGCGGCGUGCCUAACACAUGCAAGUCGAGCGAAUGGAUUAAGAGCUUGCUCUUAUGAAGUUAGCGGCGGACGGGUGAGUAACACGUGGGUAACCUGCCCAUAAGACUGGGAUAACUCCGGGAAACCGGGGCUAAUACCGGAUAACAUUUUGAACCGCAUGGUUCGAAAUUGAAAGGCGGCUUCGGCUGUCACUUAUGGAUGGACCCGCGUCGCAUUAGCUAGUUGGUGAGGUAACGGCUCACCAAGGCAACGAUGCGUAGCCGACCUGGGAGGGUGAUCGGCAGAACUGGGACGGAGACACGGCCCAGACUCCUACGGGAGGCAGCAGUAGGGAAUCUUCCGCAAUGGACGAAAGUCUGACGGAGCAACGCCGCGUGAGUGAUGAAGGCUUUCGGGUCGUAAAACUCUGUUGUUAGGGAAGAGCAAGUGCUAGUUGAAUAAGCUGGCACCUUGACGGUACCUAACCAGAAAGCCACGGCUAACUACGUGCCAGCCGCCGCUGUAA
rnacentral:rRNA from 1 species